AGAGUUUGAUCAUGGCUCAGAUUGAACGCUGGCGGCGUGCCUAACACAUGCAAGUCGAUCGGUAACAGGUGUAGCAAUACAUGCUGACGAGAGGCGGACGGGUGAGUAACGCUUGGGAAUCUGCCUAUUAGUGGGGGACAACCCGGGGAAACUCGGGCUAAUACCGCAUACGCUCUACGGAGGAAAGCCGGGGACCGCAAGGCCUGGCGCUAAUAGAUGAGCCCAAGUCGGAUUAGCUAGUUGGUAGGGUAAAUGGGCCUACCAAGGCGACGAUCCGUAGCUGGUCUGAGAGGACGACCAGCCACACUGGGACUGAGACACGGCCCAGACUCCUACGGGAGGCAGCAGUGGGGAAUAUUGGACAAUGGGGAAACCCUGAUCCAGCGACGCCGCGUGGGUGAAGAAGGCCUGCGGGUUGUAAAGCCCUUUCGGUGGGGAAGAAAGGCCUCGACCUAACACGUCGGGGUAUUGACGUAACCCACAAAAGAAGCACCGGCUAACUCUGUG
rnacentral:rRNA from 1 species